rnacentral:rRNA from 1 species
GAUGAACGCUGGCGGCGUGCCUAAUACAUGCAAGUCGAGCGAAGCGGGGACGGGUGAGUAACACGUGGAUAACCUCCUAUAAGACUGGGAUAACUUCGGGAAACCGGAGCUAAAACGGAUAAAUAUAGAUGGAUCCGCGCGACAUUAGAUAGUGGGUAAGGUAACGGCUUACCAAGGCAACGAUGCAUAGCCGACCUGAGAGGGUGUUCGGCCACACUGGGACUGAGACACGGUCCAGAAUCCUACGGGAGGCAGCAGUAGGGAAGUUUCCGCAAUUGGCGAAAGCCUGACGGAGCAACGCCGCGUGAGUGAUGAAGGUCUUCGGAUCGUAAAGCUCUGUUAUUAGGGAAGCGGUACCUACUCAGAAAGCCACGGCUAACUACGGGCCAGCAGCCGCGGUAAUUC